ensembl:snRNA U6 U6 spliceosomal RNA
GGGCUGGCUUUGCCAGUACGGAUCCUAAGAGUGGGAGUUUACAGAGAAGGUGAGCAUUGGCCCCUGUGCAAGGAUGACAUGCAAAUUUGUGAAACGUUCCAUAUUUUG